rnacentral:misc_RNA from 1 species
GAAAUGCGAUAAGUAAUGUGAAUUGCAGAAUUCAGUGAAUCAUCGAAUCUUUGAACGCACCUUGCGCUCCUUGGUAUUCCUUGGAGCAUGCCUGUUUGAGUAUCAUGAAAUCUUCAAAGUAAAUCUUUUGUUAACUCAAUUGGUUUCUACUUUGGUAUUGGAGGUCUUUGCAGCUUCACACCUGCUCCUCUUUGUUCAUUAGCUGGAUCUCAGUGUUAUGCUUGGUUCCACUCGGCGUGAUAAGUUAUCUAUCGCUGAGGACACUGUAAAAGGUGGCCAAGGUAAAUGCAGAUGAACCGCUGCUAAUAGUCCAUUGACUUGGACAAUACUUUUAUGAUCUGACCUCAAAUCAGGUAGGACUACCCGCUGAACUUAAGC